UUCACUUACUCCUUUUUUGUAGGUACCAGUUACAUUCAGGAGUGUGACUGUGAUCUGCAGGGAGCCAAAGUGGAAAACUGAGCACUAAGCAGAGGAACCUAUACAAAGAAGCGAUGCUAGAAAUCUCCAGGAAUCUGCUCUUGUUGGAGCCAAAGCCAGAAAUCUCCCCUGUUCCUCCUGCCUCUGGCUUUCUCCUGUCAGCAGUUCUUCAACAGCAUGUGCUUCAGAUCUUUCCAGAGUCAUGUGCAGAAGGUCUCUUCCCUCCAGGAGAUUCCAGCCCAGGAUGUUAGAAGCAGCAGAAGUAACAGCCAUGUUAUUAGAAUGAAAGCCCAGAAGUUAAGAGGGAGAAGGUAGCUUCAAACUCUUGUGUGGGAGGAUGGUGAAGAGAGAGACCUUGAGCACAUCACCCAGUACAUUCCAAGGACAGUCAGCAAAUCCUAGAGAAGUUAAUGCGGUGGUAGAAUUAGAGCCCUACUCAGCCCAAAGGGUUAACCUUGUACAAUUGGAAAAAGGAUUGGAGCAGUUAGAAACCUUGAGAUUUGGAGCAGUCAGCUGUAGAGAGUGUGAGCCAGACUGUAACCCCAUGCCAAACUUCAUUACAAACGCCAGGACCCUCUUGGGCAAGUCCUGUGUUUGCAGUGAUGGUGGGUGAGGCUUUACAGACAUCAUCGGAACGCCACUGGACACACUUGCCAUAUGUGUGCAGAGAGUGGGCGGAGUCUUUAGCCAAAAGCUCAGCCUCGACAGAGCCCAGAGAGCACAUUGAGAAGAGGAACCUCUCUUGUACAGGGAGUGGGGCAAAGCUUUAGAAAUAAGUCUAUCAGUAGACAUCAGAAGACUUGCUCAGGGGAGAAAUUCUGCAUUUACAGCAAGCGUGGGGAAGGCUUUGGCCAGAUGCCAUCUUUCUUCAGACACCAGAGGACACACUCAGGUGAGAAACCCUCCAUGCCCCUGCAAUGUGGACGAGGCUUUGGGGGGUAAGGGGACCCUCAGAAACCACCAGAGCACACACUCAGGGGAGAAGCCUCUGUUUGCAGGGAGUGUGGGUGAGGCGUUUGCUGCAAAUCAACCCUCUUCCAACACGAGAGAAUACACCCAGGAGAGAAGCCUUUGUGUGCACUGAAUGUGGGGAAGGUUUUAGCCACAACUUCUUGUCCACUGGAAGACACACUCAGGGAGAAGCAUUAUGUUUGUGGGGAGUGUGGGCAAGGCUUUAGCCAGAAAUCAAAUCUCAUCAGACACUAGAAGACACACUGAGGGGAAUCUUGUGUGUCUGGGCAAGAAUUCUGGGCAAGACAUGAGCCUUCAGUCAAACUUCAUCUUAUACCAGAGAGACACAUAGGAAAUGGUCCCCACGUGUGUGUGGAGUAUGAGUGAUGUUUCAGAGAUGCCUUACCCUUCUUAGACAUGAGAGGACACGUGGAGGAGAGGAACAUCAUGAGGGUACAGCAUGGAUAACUCUGUAGCCACAGGUCAGCCUCACCAUGCACAAGAGGACACACUUAGGGGGAAAGGUUUGUGUGUGCAGGGACUGUGGGCGGGGGGAGCAUUAGCAGUAAGUCCAGACUUGGGAACAUCCAGUGACAGCCCUGAGGAAUAAGUGUCACAUGUUCAGGGUGUUGGUGAGCAUCCGCAAAAGAGUGAAAGUCACCACAAGAGGGCCUUUUAUGGUCAUAUGCCACAGGGAGAAUCUAUGAGUGGGGAUGCUGUGGACCCUGCCCAGGUGACCUUUUCAAGGCCAACACCCCAGCUGCUUGAGAGAAAAAAGCUGCUGCUUGCAGAGAUGGGUUCAACUCUAGCACCAGCUCUUAGCCACAGCGAGCUACAGAAUCAGGGGCUCUGCCCUUUCUCAAGAGGGGCUCUUGGCCAGUGACCUAUGGAUACCAGUAGUUAAAACUCCACCCCUGUUCCCAAGGAUCAUUCCAGAUCCAGAAAUCCCCCCUAGACUGAAUGAUCUCUCAGUUGCAAAUAUGUUGCAGGUCAACCUCUUCCUCUGCCCAGUCCUGCCCUCACUCCAUGGUGGACCCUGAUUCUCCAUCUCUGUCUCCAGGGAACCUAAUCUAUCACCUUAGGUGUGAAAGGUGUGGAUGAGGCUUUGGCUGCGUCAUCCCUCAGCAAACACCAGGGUAUACAGAGAAGCAGCGCUGGGUGUCCUGAGGGCAGAAGGGAACUGGCAAGGACUUAUGAAACAGGCACACUUCCCAGGAAAACAACUUUUUGGUAGAAGCAGUUUUCCCCUGAUUUUCUUCUUGAGCUGACAAGAGAGCAGAGUCUUGCCACCCUAAAUCACUGCCUUGCCCAUUCAGCAGAAGUCUUAACCCAACGGUAGGUACUCUUUUUUUUUUUGGUGGUACUAGGGAUUGAAUUCAGGGACUGUGCAUGCGAGGCAAGCAAUCUACCAACUGAACUAUAUCCCCAGUCCCAACCCUCUGAAUGAGAGUAAAGAAGGCAAUAACAAUUACGUAGACAUUUUUCUACUUUUGUAAUCAGAUGGAAUAAAAAAAGUAGGCAUUAUUUAAGUCA